rnacentral:rRNA from 1 species
UACGGGAGGCAGCAGUGGGGAAUAUUGCACAGUGGGCGCAAGCCUGAUGCAGCCAUGCCGCGUGUAUGAAGAAGGCCUUCGGGUUGUAAAGUACUUUCAGUCGUGAGGAAGGUGUUAAGGUUAAUAACCUUAGCAAUUGACGUUAGCGACAGAAGAAGCACCGGCUAACUCCGUGCCAGCAGCCGCGGUAAUACGGAGGGUGCGAGCGUUAAUCGGAAUUACUGGGCGUAAAGGGCACGCAGGCGGUUAAUUAAGUUGGAUGUGAAAUCCCCGGGCUUAACCUGGGAAUGGCAUUCAAGACUGGUUAGCUAGAGUCUUGUAGAGGGGGUAGAAUUCCAUGUGUAGCGGUGAAAUGCGUAGAGAUGUGGAGGAAUACCGGGUGGCGAAGGCGGCCCCUGGGACAAAGACUGACGCUCAUGUGCGAAAGCGUGGGGAGCAAACGAGGAUUAGAUACC